CGGCACCCCAGAUGUUUUGGACUACACCGCCAAUGAUGCUUUGUCAGCAUUAUGGGGGAUGUAAUCCAAAACAUCUGGAGUGCCG
rnacentral:miRNA from 1 species